UACGGAAGGCAGCAGUGGGGAAUAUUGCACAAUGGGCGCAAGCCUGAUGCAGCCAUGCCGCGUGUAUGAAAAAGGCCUUCGGGUUGUAAAGUACUUUCAGUCGUGAGGAAGGUGUUAAGGUUAAUAACCUUAGCAAUUGACGUUAGCGACAGAAGAAGCACCGGCUAACUCCGUGCCAGCAGCCGCGGUAAUACGGAGGGUGCGAGCGUUAAUCGGAAUUACUGGGCGUAAAGGGCACGCAGGCGGUUAAUUAAGUUGGAUGUGAAAUCCCCGGGCUUAACCUGGGAAUGGCAUUCAAGACUGGUUAGCUAGAGUCUUGUAGAGGGGGUAGAAUUCCAUGUGUAGCGGUGAAAUGCGUAGAGAUGUGGAGGAAUACCGGUGGCGAAGGCGGCCCCUGGACAAAGACUGGACGCUCAUGUGCGAAAGCGUGGGGAGCAAACAGGGAUUAGAUACC
rnacentral:rRNA from 1 species